rnacentral:rRNA from 1 species
GACACUAUGUGUUGUUGGGUAGGGGAGCGUUCUGUAAGCCUGUGAAGGUGUACUGUGAGGUAUGCUGGAGGUAUCAGAAGUGCGAAUGCUGACAUAAGUAACGAUAAAGCGGGUGAAAAGCCCGCUCGCCGGAAGACCAAGGGUUCCUGUCCAACGUUAAUCGGGGCAGGGUGAGUCGACCCCUAAGGCGAGGCCGAAAGGCGUAGUCGAUGGGAAACAGGUUAAUAUUCCUGUACUUGGUGUUACUGCGAAGGGGGGACGGAGAAGGCUAUGUUGGCCGGGCGACGGUUGUCCCGGUUUAAGCGUGUAGGCUGGUUUUCCAGGCAAAUCCGGAAAAUCAAGGCUGAGGCGUGAUGACGAGGCACUACGGUGCUGAAGCGACAAAUGCCCUGCUUCCAGGAAAAGCCUCUAAGCAUCAGGUAACAUCAAAUCGUACCCCAAACCGACACAGGUGGUCAGGUAGAGAAUACCAAGGCGCUUGAGAGAACUCGGGUGAAGGAACUAGGCAAAAUGGUGCCGUAACUUCGGGAGAAGGCACGCUGAUAUGUAGGUGAAGCGACUUGCUCGUGGAGCUGAAAUCAGUCGAAGAUACCAGCUGGCUGCAACUGUUUAUUAAAAACACAGCACUGUGCAAACACGAAAGUGGACGUAUACGGUGUGACGCCUGCCCGGUGCCGGAAGGUUAAUUGAUGGGGUUAGCGGUAACGCGAAGCUCUUGAUCGAAGCCCCGGUAAACGGCGGCCGUAACUAUAACGGUCCUAAGGUAGCGAAAUUCCUUGUCGGGUAAGUUCCGACCUGCACGAAUGGCGUAAUGAUGGCCAGGCUGUCUCCACCCGAGACUCAGUGAAAUUGAACUCGCUGUGAAGAUGCAGUGUACCCGCGGCAAGACGGAAAGACCCCGUGAACCUUUACUAUAGCUUGACACUGAACAUUGAGCCUUGAUGUGUAGGAUAGGUGGGAGGCUUUGAAGUGUGGACGCCAGUCUGCAUGGAGCCGACCUUGAAAUACCACCCUUUAAUGUUUGAUGUUCUAACGUGGGCCCCUUACCGGGGUUGCGGACAGUGUCUGGUGGGUAGUUUGACUGGGGCGGUCUCCUCCUAAAGAGUAACGGAGGAGCACGAAGGUUGGCUAAUCCUGGUCGGACAUCAGGAGGUUAGUGCAAUGGCAUAAGCCAGCUUGACUGCGAGCGUGACGGCGCGAGCAGGUGCGAAAGCAGGUCAUAGUGAUCCGGUGGUUCUGAAUGGAAGGGCCAUCGCUCAACGGAUAAAAGGUACUCCGGGGAUAACAGGCUGAUACCGCCCAAGAGUUCAUAUCGACGGCGGUGUUUGGCACCUCGAUGUCGGCUCAUCACAUCCUGGGGCUGAAGUAGGUCCCAAGGGUAUGGCUGUUCGCCAUUUAAAGUGGUACGCGAGCUGGGUUUAGAACGUCGUGAGACAGUUCGGUCCCUAUCUGCCGUGGGCGCUGGAGAACUGAGGGGGGCUGCUCCUAGUACGAGAGGACCGGAGUGGACGCAUCACUGGUGUUCGGGUUGUCAUGCCAAUGGCACUGCCCGGUAGCUAAAUGCGGAAGAGAUAAGUGCUGAAAGCAUCUAAGCACGAAACUUGCCCCGAGAUGAGUUCUCCCUGACUCCUUGAGAGUCCUGAAGGAACGUUGAAGACGACGACGUUGAUAGGCCGGGUGUGUAAGCGCAGCGAUGCGUUGAGCUAACCGGUACUAAUGAACCGUGAGGCUUAACCUUACAACGCCGAAG